rnacentral:rRNA from 1 species
GAUGAACGCUGGCGGCGUGCCUAAUACAUGCCAGUCGAGCGAACAGACGAGGAGCUUGCUCCUCUGACGUUAGCGGCGGACGGGUGAGUAACACGUGGAUAACCUACCUAUAAGACUGGGAUAUCUUCGGGAAACCGGAGCUAAUACCGGAUAAUAUAUUGAACCGCAUGGUUCAAUAGUGAAAGACGGUUUUGCUGUCACUUAUAGAUGGAUCCGCGCCGCAUUAGCUAGUUGGUAAGGUAACGGCUUACCAAGGCAACGAUGCGUAGCCGACCUGAGAGGGUGAUCGGCCACACUGGAACUGAGACACGGUCCAGACUCCUACGGGAGGCAGCAGUAGGGAAUCUUCCGCAAUGGGCGAAAGCCUGACGGAGCAACGCCGCGUGAGUGAUGAAGGUCUUCGGAUCGUAAAACUCUGUUAUUAGGGAAGAACAAAUGUGUAAGUAACUAUGCACGUCUUGACGGUACCUAAUCAGAAAGCCACGGCUAACUACGUG